rnacentral:rRNA from 1 species
ACGGAGGAUCCGAGCGUUAUCCGGAUUUACUGGGUUUAAAGGGUGCGUAGGCGGGCCCCUCAGUCAGCGGUGAAAGUCUGCGGCUCAACCGUAGGAUUGCCGUUGAUACUGGGGGCCUUGGAUUCGGUCGAGGCGGGCGGAAUGCGUGGUGUAGCGGUGAAAGGCGUAGAUAUUAGGAGGAACGCCGAUGGCGAAGGCGGCUGGCCGGGCCGAUAUCGACGCUGAGGCACGAAAGCGUGGGGAGCGAACAG